CCUACGGGAGGCAGCAGUGAGGGAUAUUGGUCAAUGGGGGAAACCCUGAACCAGCAACGCCGCGUGAGGGAAGACGGUUUUCGGAUUGUAAACCUCUGUCCUCUGUGAAGAUAAUGACGGUAGCAGAGGAGGAAGCUCCGGCUAACUACGUGCCAGCAGCCGCGGUAAUACGUAGGGGGCAAGCGUUAUCCGGAAUUACUGGGUGUAAAGGGAGCGUAGACGGCUGUGCAAGUCUGGAGUGAAAGGCGGGGGCCCAACCCCCGGACUGCUCUGGACACUGUAUGGCUGGAGGGCAGGAGAGGUAA
rnacentral:rRNA from 1 species